UCUAGUAGCUGGUUCCCUCCGAAGUUUCUCUCAGGAUAGCUGGUGCAUAUAAAUAUUAUACAAAAUAAUCCUAUCUGGUAAAGCGAAUGAUUAGAGGCCUUAGGGUCGAAACGAUCUUAACCUAUUCUCAAACUUUAAAUGGGUAAGAACCUCACCUUUCUUGAUAUGAAGGUCGAGGCUAUGAUAUAUUGUGCCCAGUGGGCCACUUUUGGUAAGCAGAACUGGCGCUGUGGGAUGAACCAAACGUUAUGUUACGGUGCCCAAAUUAACAACUCAUGCAGAUACCAUGAAAGGCGUUAGUUGCUAAAAACAGCAUGACGGUGGACAUGGAAGUCGUAAUCCGCUAAGGAGUGUGUAACAACUCACAUGCCGAAGCAACUAGCCCUUAAAAUGGAUGGCGCUUAAGUUGUAUACCUAUACAUUACCGCUAAAGUAAAUGAUUUAUAUUCAAUUUCGGUUGAAUUAUAAAUUUGAAACUUUAGUGAGUAGGAGGGUACAAUGGUGUGCUUAGAAGUGUUUGGCGUAAGCCUGCAUGGAGCCGCCAUUGGUACAGAUCUUGGUGGUAGUAGCAAAUAAUCGAAUGAGACCUUGGAGGACUGAAGUGGAGAAGGGUUUCGUGUGAACAGUGGUUGAUCACGAGUUAGUCGGUCCUAAGUUCAAGGCGAAAGCUGAAAAUUUUCAAGUUAUAAUGAAGAUUUAUAUAAAUAUAUAUUUAUAUAUUUUGGAUUUAAACACUUGAUUAUUUUUGAACGAAAGGGAAUACGGUUCCAAUUCCGUAACCAACAGGUUAAUACCAACAGGUAUUCCAUAAAGAAGCCGUCGAGAGGUAUCGGAAGAGUUUUCUUUUCUGUUUUAUAGUCGUACUACCAUGGAAGUCUUUCGAAGAGAGAUAUGGUAGAUGGACUAGAAGAGCACGACAUUUACUGUUGUGUCGAUAUUUUCUCCUCGGACCUUGAAAAUUUAUGGUAGGGUCACGCAAACUUCUCAACCGGCCGUACCGAUAU
rnacentral:rRNA from 1 species